GCGGAUGUGGCGGAAUUGGUAGACGCGCUAGUUUCAGGUACUAGUGGCAGUAAUGUCGUGGGAGUUCAAGUCUCCCCAUCCGCA
rnacentral:tRNA from 1 species